UGAACAAUGGCGUAGUUGGACGCAUCACCACAUCUGUCCACAGAAGGUCACCAGUUCGAAUCUGGGUUGUUCAC